rnacentral:rRNA from 1 species
GACGAACGCUGGCGGCGUGCUUAACACAUGCAAGUCGAACGGAAAGGCCCUGCUUUUGUGGGGUGCUCGAGUGGCGAACGGGUGAGUAACACGUGAGUAACCUGCCUUUGACUUUGGGAUAACUUCAGUAAACUGGGGCUAAUACCGGAUAGGAGCUCCUGCUGCAUGGUGGGGGUUGGAAAGUUUCGGCGGUUGGGGAUGGACUCGCGGCUUAUCAGCUUGUUGGUGGGGUAGUGGCUUACCAAGGCUUUGACGGGUAGCCGGCCUGAGAGGGUGACCGGCAACAGUGGGACUGGGAUACGGCCCAGACUCCUACGGGAGGCAGCAGUGGGGAAUAUUGCACAAUGGGCGGAAGCCUGAUGCAGCAACGCCGCGUGCGGGAUGACGGCCUUCGGGUUGUAAACCGCUUUCGCCAGUAACGAAGCGUGAGUGACGGUAAUGGGUAAAGAAGCACCGGAUAACUACGUG